GUCAGUUUUCAGCGAAUUCUGGCCUGAGGACUCGAGGGUCUGGCCACAGCAGGGGCACCGCAUUCAGGGAUCUGACAUACCUGGGGCUCCCCAAGCAUCCUGCACACGCAGCUGGCCGCCUUGACCCUUCCAGUCACUCAGACCCUCAUGUGUGAUUCCUUUCCUGGGCCCUUGAUCCCUUUUCGGGACACUUUCUCCUAGGUGUCCGUCCGCUGCCCGGCUUCCUCUCUGGUCCGAGGAUACAUGUGCUCCGAAGGCCUUUUUUUAUCCCUCUCCUGGGCCCUUCCCCUCCUAAAUUGACUGGUGGAGAGAUGGGGUCUCUAAGCCCUGCUUGGAAUGAGGACCCUCCCUGUCCCCUGUUCUGACACCAGAGCUGUGACCUCUCCCUGCCCACCUCACAACUAAGCCUGAUCUUUCCUAGGGCCAGUGGCCAACGUAAUCACAGAGAGAUGGGGCACCCAGCCUGCACCCCUGGUCAUGGUCCAGUCAGCAGCUCCACAUCCCCGAGCGCCCUACCCAGCCCGAGGACAGCCGUUCCCAUCUACCAGGAGUUACAACACCCUGACAGGAGCAUUUACUGCCAGAUCGACAACAAAGGACAAGUGUCUUCUUAGUUUCCCCCUCCCCUGGGAGCUACUCCUUCCAGGGGCCUCCCUGAGACCCCAGACCCUGGGUGGGGUCAGGUGCCCCCGCCUGAGCCAGAGAGCCAGCUCUAAGCCCAGAGGAUAUUCAGGGACAUGGACCCAGGGUCCGGGCCUUCCUGAUUUCUGGAAGCCCUGACAGGCUGCCACGAACCCCGGAUGGGCCAGGACAGAGGCCCCCAUGUCCCAGGAAGUGGGGUUUCCCAGGGAAAGUAUCCCGGGCCCUGACCCACCAGGGACAGCAUGAGGGGAUCUGAUGAAACAGGACUCUUCCCCCUCCUUGGCCCUUUUUUGGUGAAUGGUGAUUUCUCUGAGCAGAAAUUCACCUGAACCUCUGGGGCCCUUCUCUCCUGGGUCACACAGGGAAAUGUUCCCUCUGAGUUCACCAAGCCCCCACCUUAGUCCCCUGAGAUAGAGGAGGGGCGAGGGGUGUUGACGUGCUGGGACCACGUUAACUAGAAAAGGAGAGAUCACCAGAGCUGUGGCCAAACUAUGACAGCACUCAGCGGUCCUCACCCUGCUCAGGGACCAAGGCUGGAGACACCUCCAGUGUCUGCACAUGUGCACAGGGUUCUCAGGAGCACAGGACAUGGGGCCUCUGAUGACCACACGAGGAGGAGCUUGGAAGGAGCAGCCAUGGACAGGCACACAUCCCAGGUGGGACCCCUUCAUAGCCUUUUGGUGUCCUGAGCCCUUUGGUCCUCCUCACCCAUCCCCGGUGGCCCUGACUGGUGGCCUUCACCAAUAAACUUGCCCUGUCCCCAGAUCCAAGAUCCAGGGCACUGAGACCUG